rnacentral:rRNA from 1 species
AGAAAUUUGGAUUAAUACCUCAUUAGUAUAGCAGUUUCGCAUGAAACCACUAUUAAAAGUCACAACGGUGAAAGAUGAGCAUGCGUCCCAUUAGCUAGUUGGUAAGGUUAACGGCUUACCAAGGCAACGAUGGGUAGGGGUCCUGAGAGGGAGAUCCCCCACACUGGUACUGAGACACGGACCAGACUCCUACGGGAGGCAGCAGUGAGGAAUAUUGGACAAUGGGCGCAAGCCUGAUCCAGCCAUGCCGCGUGCAGGAUGACGGUCCUAUGGAUUGUAAACUGCUUUUAUACAGGAAGAAACACUACUUCGUGAAGUAGCUUGACGGUACUGUAAGAAUAAGGAUCGGCUAACUCCGUG